GGUUUCAAAAUCGGCGUUAUUCUGAAUCGGAGAAAAUUGAACCGGCGCAAAUCGAGGGCUACCUGUAUAAGCAUUUCAUUAUAUUUAAAAAUUAAAGGUGCACCAUUAUGAUUGUAAGAACAACAUCCAAAAUAAAUCAACUGUGUAUGAUUCAAAUCCUAGUCAAAUAGACAAUUUUAUAUCUCACCUUCUGCCGCGUUCAUUCUUGAGAGUCCCUCCAUACUUGGGUCUAGUCCCAAUCAGAUCAAUUAUCUCAGGAAUACAACUUGCGAAAAUGGCCUACACACAAGAGAAGAGAAGAUGCGAACAAUGGAUGAUGAAGAAGAAGCCACAUGGAUAAAGGGCACCACAAUGGAUGAUGGUUGAGGGAAAGGAGAAAAACAGAGACACAAGAAAACACUGAAAUUCAAAUCUUGCAGAUGAAUAUGCCCUUAUGCAACUGACUGUUUGAGAGAAGGCACCCAGCUAUUCGCAAAAAGGAAAAAAUUAAAAUAAACAUGUCAUUGAAUUUUUCAUUUCAGUGAAAAAAGAAAUGUUGUUAAUAAAAUGCAGAAAAUGAGGCGCACACACACAGAGAAACCCUGGCUUGUUAGAUUCCUGGUACACAUAUUCAUUUUUAGUCUAUUAAACCACAAGUCACAAACCAAGCUUUCAAAUUCAAAUGUUGUUAUGCUACACACUGAUUCACCAU